AUACGUAGGUGGCAAGCGUUAUCCGGAUUUACUGGGUGUAAAGGGCGCGUAGGCGGGGGUGCAAGUCAGAUGUGAAAUCUAUGGGCUUAACUCAUAAACUGCAUUUGAAACUGUAUCUCUUGAGUGCUGGAGAGGCAGGCGGAAUUCCUAGUGUAGCGGUGAAAUGCGUAGAUAUUAGGAGGAACACCAGUGGCGAAGGCGGCCUGCUGGACGACAACUGACGCUGAGGCGCGAAAGCGUGGGGAGCAAACAGGAUUAGAUACCCUGGUAGUCCACGCUGUAAACGAUGAAUACUAGGUGUGGGGGGACUGACCCCCUCCGUGCCGCAGUUAACACAAUAAGUAUUCCACCUGGGGAGUACGAUCGCAAGAUUGAAACUUAAAGGAAUUGACGGGG
rnacentral:rRNA from 1 species